AGAGGAGCCAAGCAGUUGGGUACGGUGCUCACUGCUCAUUACGCUAAAAGCAUAUCCACCAAAAAAAAAUCUUAAGGAAAAGAACGAUCAUUAGACUUUCCAGUUACUGAUAGCCUACUUUUUCUCCGAUUCCAAUCAAUAUUCGCAUUGAAUAUAAUAAUAUCAGAUAAUGAUUUAUAUCAGAAAAUAAAAAGAAGAGAUAAGAGAAUCCACUUUCACAGCUAAAUUAAAAAAAUUAAUAAUAAUUAAAAAGACCAAAAAAAUUGAAGACGCG
rnacentral:misc_RNA from 1 species